UUGGGGUUAUUUACACGACAUAUUAACGAAGUGGAAUGGUCAAACAGCUGUUUAUUGAACCAUCAUUAUUUUUCCAUAUACUAGAAAUGUGGGUUAGCACUGAAGGAUCGACAUGUGUGCUUAGAUGUUAAAUUUUUAUCAACGUCAUUUAAUUUCAUUUUGUUUUUCACUUAACGUACACGUACACCACUGCUUAAUAUACGCGGCUUCCAUGCUUUACCAUCAAAUUCGUUUCAAGUUAUCUUCAUCCAGAGCUCAUCUUCAACCUUCUCCCAUUACUGUUGCAAUGUUAAGCAUUGGCGAAUGGAAGCUCAUGACGUGAUUUUGUGGCCAGCAAAAUUGAUGCAGAACGGCAGCUUAGCCGACUCUAGCAUUGCUAAAAUUACUUGCAGGUUUCUUCAUCAGCCAACUAUUUCACCUCAUAAGCGGGAUCAAACAUGUUGUUGCCUGAAGCAGAACCCUAUAUAUCUUUUAGAGAAUCUCCUACUUGUUCCAGAGCAACUAAAAAGAGAUUCUUUAAUCAGAAAGAAUUCGAUUCAGAUGUAGAAUGCCUAUCCAAAAGUUUUCACAAUUCAAUCAUAGAUGAUGAAUUUCAAUGUUAAGCAAGGUAUUGCAGCUCAUAUUCAAAUUGGCCAUAUCUUCUGACGGGGGUAAUCAUUAUUUAUGAUGAUAUUUCUCAAAGCUGAUUUCGAGAAUCUGCCUAUUUGGCGCUUCUGGUUUGGGCAACUUAAUUUGGCCAAGUAUGUAGUUACAGUAUUUCAUUCGAUGAUGCAACACACUGUAGGGAUAAAUUGGAAAGCAGAGGAACCACACCUGAAAAUCAUGUCCAAAAACCGGGCAGAUAUUGAAGAUGUUCGAAAUGAUUGAAGAUAAAUAAGCUUCAGUUUUUGUUGAUUCAUUUAGUUACAUCUUUACAAGAAUGAUCAUACAUUAAUCUAAUGUAUUAAUGUUGUAUUACCAUUAUUAUAUAAUUGAGACUUUCAUUUUUUAUGCUUA